rnacentral:rRNA from 1 species
UACAGAGGUCUCAAGCGUUGUUCGGAUUCAUUGGGCGUAAGGGUGCGAGUAGGUGGCGAGGUUAGUCAGGUGUGAAAUCUCGGGGCUCAAACCCCGAAACGUGCACUUGACUACUGCCUUGCUAGAGUACUGGAGAGGAGAUUGGAAUUUACGGUGUAGCAGUGAAAUGCGUAGAUAUCGAUAAGGAAGACCAGUGGCGAAGGCGAAUCUCUGGACAGUUAACUGACACUGAGGCACGAAGGCCAGGGGAGCAAACGGG